ACGUAGAAGGAAAUACACAUACACACAAGUAUCGGCGAGAAGGAAUCCCCGAUUUGAAACUGAAGAUCAAAGAUGAAAUGGAAAGAGAGCAGAAUCCUGAGGUGGAGCAAAGCAGAGGUCCCGUCGUGCCCUUUAGCCCUGUAGUAAGCAGCGAACUCUGUGAUUGUGGUGUCUCUGUACUUGGCAGGAUUCUGUUCGGACACAAGCUCUUUCAUGGGACCGUACAAUCUUGAGUUCGGCAUCAGCUGCAAGAGAAGGAAUCGCCAUUAAAAUGGAGAAAAUCUAAGGCAGACACACGAGGAAACUGUGUUCUGUCACUCGCCUGUAGAAGAUCUCCG